rnacentral:rRNA from 1 species
AUUGAACGCUGGCGGCAUGCCUUACACAUGCAAGUCGAACGGCAGCACGGGAGCAAUCCUGGUGGCGAGUGGCGAACGGGUGAGUAAUGUAUCGGAACGUGCCCAGUCGUGGGGGAUAACGCAGCGAAAGCUGUGCUAAUACCGCAUACGAUCCAUGGAUGAAAGCGGGGGAUCGCAAGACCUCGCGCGAUUGGAGCGGCCGAUAUCAGAUUAGCUAGGUGGUGGGGUAAAAGCUUACCAAGGCGACGAUCUGUAGCUGGUCUGAGAGGACGACCAGCCACACUGGAACUGAGACACGGUCCAGACUCCUACGGGAGGCAGCAGUGGGGAAUUUUGGACAAUGGGCGCAAGCCUGAUCCAGCAAUGCCGCGUGCAGGAUGAAGGCCUUCGGGUUGUAAACUGCUUUUGUACGGAGCGAAAAGGCUCUCUCUAAUACAGGGGGCUCAUGACGGUACCGUAAGAAUAAGCACCGGCUAACUACGUGCCAGCCGCCGCUGUAA